rnacentral:piRNA from 1 species
UGAAUGGAUGGAAACGGAAAGGAACAGGUC